CGUUCGUCUCCUUAGCGACGAUGUCCGGGCGGAGGGGCCGGAGCCCGCUGCAGGGGGCUCAGCGGCGGGGCCGCGAGUUGCGGCAGCAGGUGGAUGCAUUGCUUGCUGACAGCAAGGAGAGGGGGGCCCUAGACCCUGUGAAAAGGAAGUACCUUUUUCAGAGAUGUAUGGAGUUGAAGAAAUCAGUGGAUGAAAAUACAUCUGUUCUUCAAAACUUGAAAAAAACUGAUGAGCCUGCACCUGUGGGGAAUUAUAAUCAGAGAAAAGAGGAGGAAGAAAAACAAUUGUUAAAACUCUCUCAGCAGCUCCAGAAACUUGCUGCAGUCCUGAGUCAGGACAAUGUGACCAAGGGUUACACUGUAGAUGGGAAAUGUCAAAAUAGUCCUCCAACAGAACAGGAAAAUGAUGAAGAGGAGGAUGAGGAUGAAGAAAGUAGUGGGGAAGAAGAUGCUGAAGAGGAGGAGGAUGAAGAAGAGGAUGAUGAUGAUGAAUUGGAAGAUCAACCAACAAUUAAAGAAUGUAUCACGGUUGGUGAUUUUGUUGCUCAGCAGGAAGGGGAUCUCACGUUUAAGAAAGAUGAAGUGUUGCUCAUACUUGACAAAAAGCCUGAUGGUUGGUGGAUGGCUAAAAAUUCCAAAGGGGAGAGAGGCCUUGUUCCUAAAACCUAUCUCAUGGCAUGCAAUAAAGGAGUUGGCCAAGAGCCAAGUGAAGAGGAAAGUGAGGAAGACAUAGAGGUGGUUGAUGAAACAGCAGAUAAAACCGAAAUUAAAAAAAGAACAGAUUCUCACUGGAGUGCUGUUAGAAAAGCUAUCACAGAGAAUAAUACCAUUGAUGUGUUGGCAACCAUGGGAGCUGUUCCUGCAGGAUUCCGACCAUCAACUCUCUCCCAGCUCUUAGAAGAAGGGAAUCAGUUUCAAGCCAGUUAUUUCAUACAGCCUGAAUUGACUCCUUCACAAUUGGCUUUCAAAGACCUAGUGUGGAACCCCGAAAAAGACACUAUUCAGCCAAGACCAACUCGAGUAUCACUGAUUUUAACUUUAUGGAGUUGUAAAAUGAUUCCUCUUCCAGGAGUGAGCAUACAGGUUCUCAGUAGACAUGUUCGACUCUGUCUUUUUGAUGGUAACAGGGUACUGAGUAACAUUCAUACAGUUAGAGCUACAUGGCAACCUAAAAAUCCCAAAACAUGGACCUUCUCUCCACGGGUAACAGGCAUUUUACCCAGCCUGCUUGAUGGUGACUGCUUUAUCAGGUCCAAUUCUUCAUCUCCAGACAUUGGUAUAUUAUUUGAACUUGGCAUCACUUAUAUUCGCAAUUCAACUGGUGAAAGAGGAGAGUUAAGCUGUGGUUGGGCAUUUCUAAAACUCUUCGACUCCAGUGGAAUUCCAGUUUCUUCCAAGACAUAUGAGCUUCUUUUGAAUGGUGGCACACCCUAUGAGCGGGGUGUUGAGGUGGACCCAUCAAUAUCAAGAAGAGCAAGCAGUGGUGUUUUCCAUCAGAUGAUAACACUGAAGAAACAGCCUCAACUUCUCGUGAAACUGAGAUCAUUAAGCACACGAUCAAAAGGCAUCCUGAAUCUGCUACCAGAAACAUUAAUUGGCAGUAUGUGCUACAUUCAUCUCUUGAUAUUUUAUCGACAAAUUCUCAGUGAUGUGCUGCUGAAGGACAGAAUAAGCAUGCAAAGUGCUGACAGGAAGCUUAUCCUCCAUCUGAGCUGUGGGGUCCAUGGAUGUCUCAACAGUCCCAGUAAGGGGCAGUGGCCGGCACAGCUAUGGGGCCCACCCCCACCAUAUUCUGGAUGCCAUGAGGUGUCUCUCCCGCUGCUAGGACCUCUCCUCAUCCGUCUGAGUUGGCUUCUUCGAGGGUGCCCAGAGAUCAUCAGCACUGCACACAGUGUUCCCCAAUGCCCAGCAGCAAGCAACUGGAAGUUGCUCAGACAGCUCCUCCUGCAGCAGAAGCAGAUCAGCCAUUGCCGCAGCGUCUUCAUCCUCCUUCACAGGUGAGGCUGUAGGGAUGGUGAGCCAUUCUCCUCUGCCAGAGCAUUACAGGGCUCACCAAGAACUGCUUUAUGCAGUGGAGUUGUAGCUGUGUUGGUCCCAGGAUGUGAGAGAGAGAAGAUGGGUGAGGCAAUAUCUUUCAUGAAAUGCGUGGUGCCGGUAGCUGCAUAUCGAAGGAGAUUGGGAAUCUAUGUCUUUCCCUACCUGGGACACUGGCUCGUAAGGGGCAGGUCCGAAUCUCAAGUUCUGUCCAACAUGGCCAUCAUUCAGUUGACCUUCAAUGCACUGGAGGUAUUACUCAGGACAAAUCAAUUCUAGAACCUGUGCAAAGGAUAGAGUUUAUCAGAACACUACUGGAUGCUACACGAGCCAGAUCGUUCGUGCCCCAUAAAGGUUCCAAACUCUCCAAGACCUAUUAUUGCAUCGAAAAGUGCAUCUCAUUACCACAAUGCGCACUUGCCUCAGACUUCUGGGGCAUAUGGCAGCAUGUAUGUAUGUGGUACAGCAUGCCAGCCUUUACCUCAGGAGGCCUCAAGGAUGGCUAGCGUCAGUGUAUGCCCCCUGUUGACAUCGUUUAGACAAAGUGAUUCACAUUCCAGAGGUAGUUUUGUCCUCCCUGGAUUGGUGGACAGGCCCUCAGAAUAUUAGUGUGGGAACCCCCUUUGUUCUUCUGCAGCUGGUGCUCACACUGAUCACAGAUGCCUCAUCCCUGGCUUGGUGGCACAUAUUGGAACCCUACAAACCCAAGGGGUAUGGUCCUCACAGGAGCCGAGGGCUCAUAAAAACCUCUGGGAACUAUGUGCUAUCUGUCUAGCCUGUUCAGCCUUCCGCCCAAAUAUUCUGGGAAAAAAUGUGCUAGUGUUAAUGGACAAUACCGUUCUACUCUGGGAGAUCUGCAUAACUAAUUCCAUUACCUCAAAGUGAUUUACCAUCUGAGAGAGUAGAACACACUGGCAGAUCACCUAGGCAGUUCUUUCUCCACUCACCACAAGUGGGUGCUGCAUCCAGACAUGGCCAGGUCCAUCUUCCAGCUGCGGGAAUUCCCCAAGUGGACCUGUUUACAACAAAGACCAACAGAAAAUGCCAUCAGUUCUGCUCACAAGGGGGCCACAGCCCUGCACCUUUGAUGGAUGCUUUCCUGCUAUCAUGGAGAAACUCCCUGCUGUAUGCCUGUCCUCCAAAACCAUUACUAUACGGAGUUCUAUUCAAGGCCAGGUAGGAUCAUGCUUGCCUCAAUCUAAUAGCACCAAUGUGGCCUUGCCAGCAUUGGCUCUUGACCCAGUUAGCAUUGUUGGUGAGGCCUCUUUCACCUCUCUCAUUAGAUUCAGACGUGAUUUCGCAGGACCACAGCUGCUUUCUCCAUCCCAACCAACAGGCCCUCCACUUGAUGGCGUGGAUGCUUCAUGGCUAACACCACUAAAAGUGACUUGCUCGAAAAACAUUCAGGAGGUGCUUCUGAAGAGCAGAAAGCCUUCAACUAGGUGUACUUAUUUGGCCAAAUGGAAACUGUCUGGUUCAAGGCAGACUUCCAUUAACCACAUUGUGGAUUAUCUAUUGCACCAAAACCAUCAAGGCCUAUCAGUUAGUUCCAUUAAAGUACAUUUGGCAGCUAUUUCAGCAUUCCACCCUCCACUGGGUAAUAGAUAGUUAUGGGGCUGGAAAAAACAAUCAGAUUUCUAAAAGGGCUGCACGGAUUAUGUCCUCUGGUUCAACAACCUGUUCUGCCAUGGGAUCCCAGCCUCACGGUAACAAAGUUAAUGCGGCCUCCCUUUGAAGCUCUUGUGACAUACUCCCUACUCCACCUCUCUAUGAAAGUGGUGUUUCUGCUUCCAAUAACCUCACAAGGGGAGUGGGCAAACUCAGAGUCUUGGUCUCAGGACCUUCAUACCCGGUUGCCCAUAAGAACAGAGUUUACUUAUGCCCUCACCUGAAAUUUUUGACAAAAGUGGCUUCCAAUUUCCACAUGAACCAGGAAAUUUAUUUGCCAAUGUUCUUCCACAAGCCUCAUAUGCACACAGAUGAGCAAAAGCUUCAUUCGAUGGAUGUGAGAAGAGCAUUGGCUUUCUCCUGGGACCGCACCGAACCAUUUUGGUCGUCAGUUGUUUGUUGCAAUUGCAGACAGGGUGAACGGCAAAUCGGUUUCCACUCUGAAGAUUUCCUGCUGGAUUUCCUUUUGCAUUCAGUUGUGCUGCCAGUCAGCUAAUAUCACGCCACCCUCAAGAGUAUUAGCUCAUUUGAUUAGAGCACAAGCCGCAUCAGCGGCCUUCCUAGUGCAAGUUUCUGUUCAAGACAUUUGUCAGGCAGCAACCUGAUCAUCAGUUCAUGCUUAUCUGCUUGUUAUGCCAUUUCCCAUUAGUCCAGGAAUGAUGCCAGUUUUGGACAUAUUGUUCUGCAAUCACUGGCCAGCCAGACUCCGAGCCCACCUCCACGUUAUUCUGCAGUGGCACACUGUGGCAGAGGGCGCUCAAGCCAUCCUGACUGAGGGAAAAUGUUCUCCCAUAACUGUGCAUGAGGCACGCAUGCACCUACAGUGGGAUGGACGUGUGCAACACAAGUCGAAGAACAACAGUUCCGGAAGAUUUAAUCAGUAAUCCUAUUUUAGCAACUUUCCCCAAACUCAUGGAGCAGCCUGACCUUAUGGAUGCACUUAGGAGCGCUUGGGCAGAAAAGGAAAGCACAUUAAAGCGAUCAGAAAAG